AUCUUCAGUCCUUUAUUUCAUUCACUGGAGAACAUCACAGCCUUCAGAUGUGUCAAAUUAGGAUAAAUGCAACUGCAGGACUCGUCGGGCCCACCCAACUACAGAUUCACCCAGGAUCCAGCUGAUCACUGCCAAUUUGAAGGAAGAUUGUCCUUUAUCUGCUACAUUGCACUCUCACUUCUGAGGCUGUUAAGAAGACUGCACUGAUGUCAAAGAUCAACCAGCA